AGUGAACGCUGGCGGUAGGCCUAACACAUGCAAGUCGAACGGCAGCACAGUAAGAGCUUGCUCUGACGGGUGGCGAGUGGCGGACGUGUGAGGAAUAUAUCGGAAUCUACUUUUUCGUGGGGGAUAACGUAGGUAAACUUACUCUAAUACCGCAUACGACCUACGGUUGUAAGCAGUGGAUCGUCGGAGCUUGUGCGGUUGGAUGAGCCGAUGUCGGAUUAGCUAGUUGGCGGGGUGAUGGCCCACCAAGGCGACGAUCCGCAGCUGGUCUGAGAGGCUGAUAGGCCACAUUGGAGCUGAGACACGGUCCAGAGUCCUAAGGGAGGCAGCAGUGGGGAAUAUUGGACAAUGGGCGCAAGCCUGAUCCAGCCAUACCGCGUCGGUGAAGACGGCCUUCGGGUUGUAAAGACGUUUUGUUGGGAAAGAAAAGCAGCAGGUUAAUACCCCGCUGUUGUGACGGUACCCAAAGAAUAAGCACCGGCUAACUUCGUG
rnacentral:rRNA from 1 species